GACAGUGACCAGGCCCUGAGUUCAAGCCCCAGGACCAAUUAGUUCAUGCACACACAUGCAUGCACACAUGCGCGUGCACACACACACAAUAAUAUAUAUUUUUGAAUCUGCAAAUGGUCUAUAUCAUAACUCUAGAAUCUGUAAAUGUGAGUUUGUUAUGGUUUGCAUAUGGCAUAUCUCUCAAAAGGCUCAAGUGUUAAAAGGUUUGGUAGCAGCUGGUAGAGCCAAUCAUUGAGAGGUGACUGGAUCAGCUUUGACCUAUUCAAUGAUUAUCCCACUAAUGAAUACAUACUUUGAUGUAAUUAUUGGGAGAUGGUAGAAGCUCAGAAGCAGGACCAGGUUGGAGGAAGGUCACUGGGGCUUGCCUUUGAAGGUUCUAAGUUCUCCCUGCCCCUUUGUUCCUCUUGAUGCUUCCUGGCUUCCAUAGGUGAACAGCUCUGUUCUACAUUGCCCACUCCACCAUCAUGUUCUGUCUAGUCUCAAGCCAAAGCAAAGGAACCAACUACCCAUAGAUUAAAACUUCUGACAUUUCCUCCUUCAAAUUGUUCCUUUCAGGUGCUAGUCACAGUGACCAAAAUUCUGGCUAAGUCACAGCUUAUUUAGGAAGGAAGUCUUUACAGAUUUAUUACAUUAAUUAAGAAUCUCAAGAUGAGAUCAUCCUGGAUUAUCCUGCUGGGACUUAAAUCCAGUGCCAAAAAUCCUUAUACAAGAGGACGCAUGGAGAGGCAGGGAGAAUAUCACAUUACAAUGCCGGCAGAGUUCAGUGUUCUGCUGUCAUAAGCUAAGAAAGAUGUGGAGAUACCUGAAGCUGAAAGGGAAGGCUGCAUUGAAGAGGUCUCCCCUCCAAACAUUAGGGAGCACAGCCUUGAUAUUACACUUAUGGCCUAUACACCUAUGAAAAUAUUCAUUUCCAUUACUGUUACCAGUACCAUGUUGAUUUGUUAUGGAAACUAAUCCAGAUGGCAAAGGAAAUGCCGCUGGGGAGGUUGGGAGGCAGAAGAAAGAAACAGAGCAAGUACACAAGGUGGCCAGAGAAACAAAUAGUUUAGAAAGGCAAGCUGCUCCAUCAGAGGCUAAAGACAAGGUAACACUUGACAUACCUAGACCUAAAGGGCAACCUGAAUAUCAAUCUAGGCCCUACUGAUUUUAUUAGCGAAUGAGGACACACUUAAACCUCAUUAAUGAGUUUUAUGCAAGAAAACAAUAUGUACAAUGUACUGUGUAGGAACAUCAAGUUACUAUUAAGAAGAAUGAGUUGGGUAGUUCAUGAUUAUCAUCCUAUCUACAAAGAAGGUUGAGACUUGGAAACUCAAGGUUUGAGGCUAGCGGGGCAAAAAAAAUCUGCAGAACUCUAUCUCCAAUUAACCAGCAAAAAGCAAGGAUGAGACAUGACUCAAGUGAUAGAAUGUCAACCAUGAGCAAUAAAGGUGAACAAAUCUGAAGUCCUAAAUUCAAGACACAGUACCAGCAACCAGGGGGAAGGGGAAGAGAAAGAACUAGAAGCAAGUAUCUAAUAGACUUUCCCUUUCCCUUUGUGAAGAAAGAUCUUUG